rnacentral:rRNA from 1 species
AGGCUGCAACUCGCCUGCAUGAAGUCGGAAUUGCUAGUAAUCGCAGAUCAGCAUGCUGCGGUGAAUACGUUCCCGGGCCUUGUACACACCGCCCGUCACACCAUGGGAGUCGGUAACACCCGAAGUCGGUAGCCUAACCGUAAGGAGGGCGCCGCCGAAGGUGGGAUUGAUGACUGGGGUGAAGUCGUAACAAGGUAUC